UGAAGGAUGAUGAAAUUGAAAAUAAUUUUAGAAAAAAAGGGUGAAAUUUUAGGUUAUGGGAGUAUUAUUGAAAAAGAAAUAAAAAAUAAGGGGUCAAAAUAUAAUUUAAGAAAGUUGUGCUACAUAAGAUACUUAGUCGGUAGCUUCGACAAACUAGAACGCACUACAUGGCAAUGUAUACUGACGCGGUGCCAUGCGGGCAAUCCGCGUGCCCAUGAUCAAACGGCCCAGAUCCGCUCCCGCACACACGAUCGAGCCAGAUGCGUGCACUCCCAAGACGCGAUCG
rnacentral:lncRNA from 1 species